rnacentral:rRNA from 1 species
UGGGGAAUAUUGCACAAUGGGCGCAAGCCUGAUGCAGCCAUGCCGCGUGUAUGAAGAAGGCCUUCGGGUUGUAAAGUACUUUCAGCGAGGAGGAAGGCGGUAAGGUUAAUAACCUUAUCGAUUGACGUUACUCGCAGAAGAAACACCGGCUAACUCCGUGCCAGCAGCCGCGGUAAUACGGAGGGAGCAAGCGUUAAUCGGAAUUACUGGGCGUAAAGCGCACGCAGGCGGUCUGUCAAGUCGGAUGUGAAAUCCCCGGGCUCAACCUGGGAACUGCAUUCGAAACUGGCAGGCUAGAGUCUUGUAGAGGGGGGUAGAAUUCCAGGUGUAGCGGUGAAAUGCGUAGAGAUCUGGAGGAAUACCGGUGGCGAAGGCGGCCCCCUGGACAAAGACUGACGCUCAGGUGCGAAAGCGUGGGGAGCAAACA